rnacentral:lncRNA from 1 species
GUCGCUGGGCCUGUUCCGGGCACGGGCGGCGGCUCUGCUCUGCCCCUACUCCAAUUGGGGUGACGUGUGUACCACGCCUGCAGGCCGCUGGGCCUGAUCCGCCCGUCUGUCGCAGGUCUGCCUAUCUUGCAGGCGCGGGUGGCGGCUCUGCUCUGCCCCUACUCCAAUUGGGGUCACGUGGCUACCAUGCCGGUGGGCCGCUGGGCCUGUUCCGAGCGCGGGCGGCGGCUCUGCUCUGCCCCUCUGGCUUGAUGACAAAGUGAGAGAGACUCGGGUGUUUGUGACUCACUUUCUUUACCAGGAUACCAACUGUUUCUGUCGCCGCUGGUAUCGAUGAAGUUCUCUCCUCUGCCGCCUUCUGAUGACAUCAGAUCUCUGCCAUGUUGGUAUCCCAUGUGAAUGGCAGCAUUUCGUUCCCUUUGCCGGGUGACCAAAGCAACGGGUGAGUCCUGACCGGCCCUCACAAGCCCCGUCUCAGUCCUGUUGCCACUGCCUAUGAAGGCUUGGUUGGUAUUUACCUCCACAGUAUUCAGCAGGACCCGGACCCGAGAAGCGGUUUCCGCGGGUUCUUUAUCCCUGGGCCAGAGCAGUUCCGGGAGCCGGAAUUCGGCCGCUCCGUGCUCGGUGUAUGUUCUGAUAGGAGCAGGCUCCAAGAAGCAGUUUCCACGGGUUAUUUAGCACUGAGCCUGAGUAAUUUGUCUGCGAGCCACAGGCGAAUGGCAGCCUGAAAUUACCUCUUCUAUGGCUGAAUGAGCUGCGAUCAGUCGAAAACAGGGAUGGUGACGUCAGCUCUCCAAGAUGGUGGCCGCUGGCUUCCUCUGUGGUCUGACCGGUGUGGAGAACCGAAUUGGACUGCUUCCUUCCCCCGUCUCAAACCCAGAAUUCAGCACUGAGUACGGUGAUUGCACAGCUGGCAGAAGCCCGCAGAAACUGCAGCGCUGUAUCUUUGCGUUGCUAUCUCCUCGUUUCCCAGCGCGCGCCGCAGAUUCUAGCCGCAGGGCGAUUUGCUGAAUAAGCAGCGUGACCCUCUGUGCGGACAAAUCUCUCGCGUUUGAGACGCCGUAGCUGAUCCUCGUGCGAUGGAAAUCCUUCCUCUAGGUUUUGGAGCACCCCAAUUUUGCUGGCAAUUCCUAACAAGAUAGCUUUUAGCCAUCGUUCUAACUCGUCAUUCUCCCGCACAGUGACGUGGUACACGGGGGUAAUGCUCUCCCUUCGCCGCCGUCUUCCCAGAACCCGCAUGUUUAUUUUUAAUAGCUUUAUUAAAAGGAAAAUCGCAAGCUGGAUACCAUAGCACAUGCUUAUAAUCCCAUCACCUCUGGAGACUGAAACACAAUGAUCUCAAGGUGGAGGCCAGCCUCACCAGCUUAGCAAAACCCUGUCUCAAAAAGACAAAAACAAGCAAACAAAAUGACUGGGUAUGGGAUGUAACUCAGUAUUAUAACACUCCUGGGUUUAAUCCCUAGUACCAAAAAAAAAAAGGAAGAUCACUGAUUAGCAUUAAGCUAAAUAUCAUUAUCUCACAUGGUUUGACUGCUUGUUUUUCUAACUUUUGGGGGGGGAAAGGGGAUGAGUCCUGAGAUUAUAACCCAGAGUCAGUUUACCAUUGAGUCAGUUCUUUUUAUUUUUUAUUUUGAGACAGGGUCUCACUAAGUUGCCUAGAGCCUCACUAAGUUGUUGAGGCUAGCCUUAAUCUUGCAAUUGUCCUAUCUCAGCCUACCAAGCCACUGGGAUUAUAGGUGUGUGCUUUUUCUAACCUUUUUAUUUUGAAAUAAUUUCAAACAUAAAUGUUGCUAAAAUAAUACAG